UACGUAGGUGACAAGCGUUGUCCGGAUUUACUGGGCGUAAAGAGCGCGCAGGCGGUCGAUCAAGUCGAGUGUGAAAGCCCCCGGCUCAACUGGGGAGGGUCAUUCGAUACUGAUCGACUCGAAGGCAGGAGAGGGUAGUGGAAUUCCCGGUGUAGUGGUGAAAUGCGUAGAUAUCGGGAGGAACACCGGUGGCGAAGGCGGCUACCUGGACCGAUAUUGACGCUGAGACGCGAAAGCGUGGGUAGCAAACAGG
rnacentral:rRNA from 1 species